GCGCCUCCGGACAGGUGCGCAGCUUUUCUGAAUCGCGAGCACAAGCCAACAGGAAUUUUCCGUGAACAAGAGAUAAAGCUGUUCCUAAAGACGAGGCACGGCUCCUAGUUUCCUGCCUGCUCGGCCACCGCAGCUCCAAAACUGAUGAUAAACAGGCUGCGCAGAGCUGUGAAUGCGUGCCAUAUCGCCUUCAGAAGUUCGUCCCGUAGAGCCAUAAUGAUGUCAACAGCAGCUCUCCCUCCCUGCCUUGCUCUCGUCUUGCUGACUUGUAUCGGCUGUCACCCUCUUCUACCUGUGGGUUGUUCACUCUUGUCACGUGACCAAGGUCACCUGGAGAAUGAAGAGAAGGGAAAAAAAAAAAAAAAUCACAUUUUAGGCACACGGCUGACCAUCUUCCAACCAGCGCAACAGUCCAAUAUCACUGGAACAAAAACAAA